rnacentral:rRNA from 1 species
AUGAACAAGAUGAAGCUAAUUACGCAACGGAACCCGGUAUAUAUCUUUGUGAAGAAUACUGAGCUGUAUUGCCUGACGUGCAUAUCUGACAAAUCUGAUAGAAUGCUGGUGACUGAGAUUAAGAACCAUGCUAAUUGUGUUGCAGCCCCUACGAGCGAGACAAAUCUGAUAGAAUCUAAUUCAAGCAUCGUAACCGUAACUGCAAAUGUUGACCCAAUUUACACGACGGAAACAGGUACAUCAUUGAUCAGAUAUUGGUUUGUUGUUUGCCUGGAUACCAGGCAGACAUUGGUUUUGUAUUCAUGCUGA